GACGAACGCUGGCGGCGUGCCUAAUACAUGCAAGUUGAGCGCUGAAGGUUGGUACUUGUACCAACUGGAUGAGCAGCGAACGGGUGAGUAACGCGUGGGGAAUCUGCCUUUGAGCGGGGGACAACAUUUGGAAACGAAUGCUAAUACCGCAUAAAAACUUUAAACACAAGUUUUAAGUUUGAAAGAUGCAAUUGCAUCACUCAAAGAUGAUCCCGCGUUGUAUUAGCUAGUUGGUGAGGUAAAGGCUCACCAAGGCGAUGAUAAAUAGCCGACCUGAGAGGGUGAUCGGCCACAUUGGGACUGAGACACGGCCCAAACUCCUACGGGAGGCAGCAGUAGGGAAUCUUCGGCAAUGGACGAAAGUCUGACCGAGCAACGCCGCGUGAGUGAAGAAGGGUUUCGGAUCGUAAAACUCUGUUGGUAGAGAAGAACGUUGGUGAGAGUGGAAAGCUCAUCAAGUGACGGUAACUACCCAGAAAGGGACGGCUAACUACGUG
rnacentral:rRNA from 1 species